rnacentral:rRNA from 1 species
UUUUUGGAGAGUUUGAUCCUGGCUCAGGACGAACGCUGGCGGCGUGCCUAAUACAUGCAAGUCGAGCGCAGGAAGCGGGCGGAUCCCUUCGGGGUGACGCCCGCCGAA